rnacentral:rRNA from 1 species
AACGAACGCUGGCGGCAUGCCUAACACAUGCAAGUCGAACGAGACCUUCGGGUCUAGUGGCGCACGGGUGCGUAACGCGUGGGAACCUGCCCUUAGGUUCGGAAUAACUCCCCGACAGGGGUGCUAAUACCGGAUAAUGUCUUCGGACCAAAGAUUUAUCGCCCUUGGAUGGGCCCGCGUUGGAUUAGCUAGUUGGUAGGGUAAAAGCCUACCAAGGCGACGAUCCAUAGCUGGUUUGAGAGGAUGAUCAGCCACACUGGGACUGAGACACGGCCCAGACUCCUACGGGAGGGAGCAGUGGGGAAUAGUGGACAAUGGGCGAAAGCCUGAUCCAGCAAUGCCGCGUGAGUGAUGAAGGCCUUAGGGUUGUAAAGCUCUUUUACCCGGGAUGAUAAUGACAGUACCGGGAGAAUAAGCGCCGGCUAACUCCGUG